rnacentral:rRNA from 1 species
UACGUAGGGGGCUAGCGUUGUCCGGAAUCAUUGGGCGUAAAGCGCGUGUAGGCGGUCCGGUAAGUCCGCUGUGAAAGUCGAGGGCUCAACCCUCGAAUGCCGGUGGAUACUGUCGGGCUUGAGUACGGGAGAGGCGAGUGGAAUUCCUGGUGUAGCGGUGAAAUGCGCAGAUAUCAGGAAGAACACCAAUGGCGAAAGCAGCUUUCUGGGACGGUACUGACGCUGAGACGCGAAAGCGUGGGGAGCGAACAGGAUUGAGACC